rfam:Parcubacteria bacterium GW2011_GWA1_38_7 TT00_C0003, whole genome shotgun sequence.
UGCGGGGUAGAGUAAUAGUAACUCGCGAGGCUCAUAACCUUGAAAUUUUAGUGCAAAUCUAAACCCCGCAA